rfam:Pseudomonas agarici strain NCPPB 2472 genome.
GUCACAGGUGGUGCGGCAUUGCAAUCAGUGCAGCACCGAACGCGCAGUACCUAACGAAGACGGUAAAAAG